UACGGAGGGUGCAAGCGUUAUCCGGAUUCACUGGGUUUAAAGGGUGCGUAGGUGGGCAGGUAAGUCAGUGGUGAAAUCUCCGAGCUUAACUCGGAAACUGCCGUUGAUACUAUUUGUCUUGAAUAUUGUGGAGGUAAGCGAAAUAUGUCAUGUAGCGGUGAAAUGCUUAGAUAUGACAUAGAACACCAAUUGCGAAGGCAGCUUACUACACAACGAUUGACGCUGAGGCACGAAAGCGUGGGGAUCAAACAGG
rnacentral:rRNA from 1 species